rnacentral:lncRNA from 1 species
UUUUUUUUUUGUAUUUUUCAAAAAAAAUUAAAUUUUUAAUAUUUGAAAAAAAAUUAUUUUUUUAAAAUUAGAUAAAAAAAAUCCAUUGGAUCAUUAAAAUGUGUUGGAUGGAUUGGAUAAUCCAUUUUUAUAAAUGGAUGGAUUUAAUCCAAUCUAUUAAUUUAGUUUUUAUGUAAUGGAUGGAUUGGAUGAAUAUUUUGGUGGAUGGGUUGGCUGGAUUUUGUUUUAAUGAUCCAAUUGCCACCCCUACUCCAGACAUUUCUCUACCUUUCAUGAUGAAAAGGUAAAAACAAUUUAGUGAAACAUUCUUUCUUUACUUCAAUAGAUGCAUUACAUCGUACAUGCGAAGUCUUUCUUUUGCAAUAAAACAAAAUUAAAAAAUAACAUAACUAAGUGGUAUCUACUACCUCUUAUUUGUCUCUGAGGUUGAAGUUGCCUUAUGAUUAGCCACUUUUGUUUACCAAAUCUGUUCGUGGUAUCCCCUUGGUCAGAGGACGAAUGUCCAUAUCCUUUAGCUACUUAACCAAUUAAGCCACAUUGAUUUCCAUAACGAUAGCUUCACCUUUAUUUUGAUCAUAUUGUAAAGUUUGAUAAAUCCUCUUAGCUUUUGUCAGGCCAACACUGAUGGUAACUGCCUCUUUGUGGACUUUAUGGUAUUUCAUCUUCAAGUGGAUUGAGGAGGCUACUGCGUCCAAUGUUGUCACAAUGAUCCGACACAUGAUACAAUUGUAAACACGUCGACACAGGACGACCAAUAAAUGAGCGUCCAUGAUUCUAGUAUUCUGUCAUUUCCCAAGGAUAACCAUCGGCUCAACGUAUCCCCAAGGGUUGGAUUGAAAAUCUAACCCCUUAUAUGGCAACAUAUUCUCUUUCUUCUAUCCUAUUAUCUCAAAGAGAUUAUCAUAAAUGACAUUACAAGAAUUACAUCCGUCAAUCAGGACUCGAGACACAUUAAAGUUAUCUAUGAAUGCCGUCACCAAAGAUAAUAUUUUGUUAGAGAUUCCUCUUGCCUUUUCACUAUCUUGAAAUCCAAGGAUCAACCUUUUUGGGUCGGUGGCUGAGGUGAUUCCUUCCAUUUUGCUUACAAUUAUUAACUCAAUAAUCUUCCUCCUUAUCGUUUCUUUAGAUGGCAUGCUCGACUUGGGAUCCCCUCAUUUAUAGAGGCGAUAUACUAAUGCUUUCCAUUAUGUCCUUCACUUUCUUCACUACAAGUUUCUUUACCGUUUCCCCCGACCACGACCUCGAUUAGCUUCUUAGGGGAUUGUCUUUUCUUUGGAGAUUCUUCUCUUCUUCUCUUACCAUCCUUGGUAUAUUCAGAUAGCCGCCCUUUCUUGAUAAGCCCUUUGACAAUGUCAUUGACUUAGUGCAAUCUGUGGUAUUAAGGCUGUGAUUUUUUUUUUUGGAAAUAGAAAUAUUUGAUCAAUCAGUUCGGGAAGACUCUUUGACCAGAUACAUGUUUCUUAUAUCGACUACACUCUGUCAAAAUUCUUUCUCGGGAAAUGUUUAAAGGAGUGUAAGAGUCAAAUUUUGAGCGAAUUCUUCACUCAUGUCCCUCUAUAAAUUUCUCUAAAUAUUUUUCUUGUUACUCGAUUGACUCCGGGGAUCCCCAAUCCUCGGUUCCCUCCAUCGGCCAAUAGUUUAUCCUCAUAGUUAAUGUAGGAUUGAGCCCUGCUUAGCAAGUCUUUCAAAUUAUAGGCUUCUUUGUGAUUAGUUUUUCUUGAAAUGUGUUGUCAGGUCGGAGUCCUUUCUCGAAAAUCAAGCACUUGAGACUUUCAUUCGUUCCUUCGAUGGCCACAACUACCUUGGUGAACCGAUCAAAGUAAGCUCGUAGAGUUUCCUUCUUUCCUUGAGUCACUCCACUAAGGGCGACCAUAAUUGUCGAUUUCCGUUUCCUAGUAGUAAACUGGGCAUCCAAUUUUUUUCACAAAUCAAACCACGAAUCUAUGCUCAUGUCAGGAAGAGAUUUGAAACAGGCUCGGGUGGACUCUGUUAAAGUAAUUGCAAAUAGUUUGCAUUUUACGUUCCUGUCUGCAUGUUAAUUGUCUAGUUGGCCGUCCACGUGUUCGACAUACUCUUCGGGGUCUCCGUUUCUAUUGUAAUCUUUGGAGUUUCGGGGUUUCUCUGUAGAUCAUGGAAUUGUACCGUCUAAGAUACGAGCGGUUAACGAAUUCUUUUUCCUAGGUCGAGUUGAUGUAACUUCUUCCUUCCCUUCUCGCGGGCUGAAGGACUUCUGGAGGGGCGUGGCUGCCUCUUCUUCCUCCAGGGUCAGGCGAAGGUGUGUGAUGCUUGUGACCCCAACGGUCUGGAGAUUUAUGGACCUCUUCUUGGGCUUUAGUCGGCCCAUGACUUUUUGUGAGGCUGGUUCUUAGACGAUGCUAUUUUUUAGGGCGAAAUUUUGCAGACUCUCUUCUAUCCGAGUGAGUAUGUCUGUGAUAAAUUAUGAAUUUUUUAUUGAAUCAUCCAAAACAUACCAUUCAGUAACUCAUGGUUUGCUUCAGGACCUAGAUUGGUCUGCAAGAACUCGAAACCAGAGAGCGCUUCAUUCCCGUGACUGUGGGAGGUGCUUCUGAUCAGGAGAGCGGUCCACCUACGUAAAGUUGUAGGGCAUUCACUACAAGUGGGGGAAAUUGAGAAGCUCCUUGGAUCAUCUCUUGAUGAUUAUGAUGAGAUGAUUUUGGUUGCAAAUUUGGUGAGAUUGACUUGGAGAAUAGAUCUACUCUUCGGUUGGAAAAUAUAUGGAUCUAAGAUCAGGAUAUUGUGAUAAUCAUAGGAAUUCAAUAUUGUUUCCCACAAGGAUAUCAAUGUUCUGUUCGAGAACGAAAUGAUGAUCAAAAAGAUAGAAUUGGUUGCGGUGUCACAAUCACAAAGUUGAAAUCCGAUGCGGUGGACGAGGCUUACCAGCAAGGUUAAUAUUCCACCUAAAAUCCUCAAAGCUAGUAACUGAAAUGAAUAAUAAACUUUUAAAUAAGAGUGAGAAUUAUAAUAAAAUAGGAGUCUGACGGCAUGGAACAUAUUCUCAUCUGAGGUAGUGUGAAACCACUUAAGUAUAUUUUUUGUUUUCAUCAUGUUAUGGUAUUGCGCUUUGCAUUCUAUAGGGCUUUGGCGACGGACCCGAAACACAAACCAAUUUACAAAACGAUAUCCUGUUGAUUGCUUUGUCAAUUUAAUUUUUCUACAGAAAUGGACAGGGCUUUUAAAACCGGUUGUGGAUAAUUAAGGGAAAUAUAUUUUUUAACACCCCUACUUAUAAUGAGUUAAGGAUCCACGAAAAAGGAGAGAUAUGACAUUUUUUUGGAAAGAGCUAAAUCAGGUUGCAAACCACAAGUCACCACUAUUAUAAUUUAUUGAUGCACAAUUUGACAUGUUAAGAUAAAAAAAAUGAUUGAUACAGUUAUAUUACAGCGAACUAAAUACAACAUAAAGUUAUUACAGAAAAAUACAUCAUAAAGUAUAAACUAUAAAGUAUACAAGGGACACAAAUAAUGGACAAAUAAAUACAUAAUAUCCAAGAAAAUAAAAAUCCUUAUUCUUGUACAAACUACAAAUAAUAUUAUAUAUGUAUGUUGUAUGAAUGAAUGAGAAGUUAAAAGCAUAUAUCGAUGGCACAACAGCAACAUAGAGCAGCACAACAUCCCUUCCAGAAACCGUCACCUCUGGUUGUUGUUUGAUCUGGAAUCCUUUGUUGAGGGGCAUCCUGGGAAGGGUAACCCAUAGGUGGUGGGGCAGUUACAUAUUGAGAAGUAGAAUACGCCUCACCUGGUGGUGGAUAUGAUAUAGGUGCUGCUUGUUGCUGAUUGUUAAAGUUACUCAUGAUGUUGUUGAUGAUGAUGAAGUUGAUUAGAAUUAUAUAUAUCAAAGAGUAGUUGAAUGAUGAUUGAUGAGAGACGAAGAUGUUAUGUGAAUGAAAAGUAUAGAAGCAAAAA